rnacentral:rRNA from 1 species
UUUCGCAAUGCCCGAAAGGGUGACGAAGCGACGCCGCGUGGGUGAAGAAGGCCUUCGGGUUGUAAAGCCCUGUCAGGAGUUAAGAAAUGUAGGUGCGAUAAUACCGUACCUAUUUGACAAAGGCUCCAAAGGAAGCCACGGCUAACUCUGUGCCAGCAGCCGCGGUAAUACAGAGGUGGCAAGCGUUGUUCGGAAUUAUUGGGCGUAAAGAGCACGUAGGUGGAUUUGUAAGUCAGGUGUGAAAGCCUUCUGUUCAACGGAAGAAUUGCAUCUGAAACUGCAAACCUUGAGUGUAGGAGGGGAGAAUGGAACUUCUGGUGGAGCGGUGAAAUGCGUAGAUAUCAGAAGGAACGCCGGCGGCGAAAGCGACUCUCUGGCCCGAUCCUGACACUGAGGCGCGAAAGCUAGGGGAGCAAACAGGAUUAGAUACCCUGGUAGUCCUAGCUGUAAACGAUGGGCACUAAGUAGAGGGGUUUU